UACAUGUGGGGCAAGCGUUGUUCGGAAUUACUGGGCAUAAAGGGUGCGUAGGCGGCCAACUAAGUCAGACGUGAAAUCCCUCGGCUUAACCGGGGAACUGCGUCUGAUACUGGAUGGCUUGAGUUUGGGAGAGGGAUGCGGAAUUCCAGGUGUAGCGGUGAAAUGCGUAGAUAUCUGGAGGAACACCGGUGGCGAAGGCGGCAUCCUGGACCAACACUGACGCUGAGUGAGCGAAAGCCAGGGGAGCAAACGGG
rnacentral:rRNA from 1 species